AUUGAACGCUGGCGGCAUGCUUUACACAUGCAAGUCGAACGGCAGCGCGGGCUUCGGCCUGGCGGCGAGUGGCGAACGGGUGAGUAAUGCAUCGGAACGCGCCCAGUAGUGGGGGAUAGCCCGGCGAAAGCCGGAUUAAUACCGCAUACGACCUGAGGGUGAAAGCGGGGGACCGAAAGGCCUCGCGCUAUUGGAGCGGCCGAUGUCGGAUUAGCUAGUUGGUGGGGUAAAGGCUUACCAAGGCGACGAUCCGUAGCUGGUCUGAGAGGACGACCAGCCACACUGGGACUGAGACACGGCCCAGACUCCUACGGGAGGCAGCAGUGGGGAAUUUUGGACAAUGGGGGCAACCCUGAUCCAGCCAUGCCGCGUGCGGGAAGAAGGCCUUCGGGUUGUAAACCGCUUUUGUUCGGGAAGAAAUCCUCUGGGCUAAUACACCGGGGGGAUGACGGUACCGGAAGAAUAAGCACCGGCUAACUACGUG
rnacentral:rRNA from 1 species